rnacentral:lncRNA from 1 species
CAGACAAUGGAUAAACAUAUCCCAGGCUCAGGGCCAAAAGGACUUUCAUUAACCUGCUUUUUUUCUUUCACAGGCACCUGCCAGGGUUUGCACAGAACCAAAAAUAAGGAAGCAAUGUUUCUUCUCAGAUCACAGGGCUGUAAACAGAACAAAUAUUAAGAAAUUAGAAAGGAAUCCGGAUGAGACACAAUAUUUAUGGAAGUCUCCUAGGCAAGUUACUUUUCCACCAGCUGCAUGGCUGUACCAUAAAUAUUUGAAACAGGAAGGUGUAAUAAGUCGCCUCCUGGCAGCUGAUGAGCAUCUACAAAUCCUCUUGCUGAUGUUGACAUGGAUUCCAAGACAGUGUGGAGCACCACUGUGGUUCUGGAUGAAUGGGUGUCUCCAUAGCCCUCAAAGUGCACUCUUUGACCCAGAAAGCUUAAACAGCAAGGAGAAGAACACGAAAUGUUGGCUGCUUUCCCAAGGUGGUAUCUGCUGCCUGAUCUAAGGUGUGACAAAUUAGCAGCUGUCUCCUCCAAGGACACUGUCAGACAAGCUUCCCAAGCUCAGCUCUCCCUCCCUCCUUCUCUUUGGAAAGGGAAACCAUCUGGGGGAUCCAGGUAACGAAAAAGGAUGUCGAGAACUUGACCCUUCAGAAGUGAUGACACAUUGCAUUGAAGAUGCAGAAUACAAAACGCGGAAUGCAAAUUGCAGAAUGCAGAAUGCAAUUUUGGGGGGA